rnacentral:rRNA from 1 species
GACGAACGCUGGCGGCGUGCUUAACACAUGCAAGUCGAACGGAAAGGCCCUGCUUUUGUGGGGUGCUCGAGUGGCGAACGGGUGAGUAACACGUGAGUAACCUGCCCUUGACUUUGGGAUAACUUCAGGAAACUGGGGCUAAUACCGGAUAGGAGCUCCUGCUGCAUGGUGGGGGUUGGAAAGUUUCGGCGGUUGGGGAUGGACUCGCGGCUUAUCAGCUUGUUGGUGGGGUAGUGGCUUACUAAGGCUUUGACGGGUAGCCGGCCUGAGAGGGUGACCGGCCACAUUGGGACUGAGAUACGGCACAGACUCCUACGGGAGGCAGCAGUGGGGAAUAUUGCACAAUGGGCGGAAGCCUGAUGCAGCAACGCCGCGUGCGGGAUGACGGCCUUCGGGUUGUAAACCGCUUUCGCCUGUGACGAAGCGUGAGUGACGGUAAUGGGUAAAGAAGCACCGGCUAACUACGUG